AUGCCGCCAGUAGGAGGAGGAGAUGAUUGCACGGAGCACGAUUCCCCGCAGGCGAGCGGCCACCAUGGCUGCCCCGAGGACGUUCCGUCUUCUUCGCCGACGCUCCCCGUCAUUGCUUCUGUAGCUCCCGAGAAGAAGAAGAAGAAGAAGAAACAGAAGCGCAAUGGCGAGCAGCAGCCCGCGACAAGCCUCCCCGGCGACAUCGUCAUCGAAAUCCUGUCGUUGGUGCGUUACAAGUCGCUCUGCCGUUUUAAGUGCGUGUCCAAGCAGUGGCUUGACCUUUGCUCCGGUCUCGACACCCACAAGAGGUCGCCGCAGACCCUAUCCGGCCUCUACUUCUUGGACGAGGAACGCCAAGGCCUCAGUUUCCAUGAUCUGACCAGGGGUGGCCCCCGUCUGGUCGAUCCCGAUCUCUCUUUCUUGCGCCGGAGCUACGAAAGCUUAGAGGUCACACAAUGGUCUAGCAGCCUUCUCCUUUGCAUGUGCUGGAAGAACUCGUACUCACCGCGGGUAACAGUGGACAAAGAGGGGAAGAUUUGGAGAGAAAUUAGAGUGCCACACUUCGACGCCAUUGGGCUGUCUCAGGGAUGCUUGCAUGCUUGGCGUGUAGAUGUUCUUAAUGGUUGCCAAUUCUCUCUUUGGGUUCUUCGGGAUUAUGGUAGCGAGAACUGGACUCUAAAGCACACUGUCAAUGUUCUGGAAUUAUUUGGAAGUCAUUGUCGCAAAGAUCAUGAGUCCUACAUGGUGUUGGCCAUUCAUCCAAAUUGUAAUCUGAUUUUCCUUACCGAUGGGGAGAUGACAGUCUCGUAUGAUACGGAUAAUCGGAAACGGGAGCAGAUGAGCCUGGGCACGGAGUUGGAUUUCUCAAAGGGAGUGCUGAGUUUCUGCUCCCGAGCUCAUCUGCAACCCCGCUUAGAAAACAAUUCAAAAUGA
rnacentral:rRNA from 1 species